rnacentral:rRNA from 1 species
UGGGGAAUUUUGGACAAUGGGGGAAACCCUGAUCCAGCCAUCCCGCGUGUGCGAUGAAGGCCUUCGGGUUUUAAAGCACUUUUGGCAGGAAAGAAACGUCAUGGGUUAAUACCCCGUGAAACUGACGGUACCUGCAGAAUAAGCACCGGCUAACUACGUGCCAGCAGCCGCGGUAAUACGUAGGGUGCAAGCGUUAAUCGGAAUUACUGGGCGUAAAGCGUGCGCAGGCGGUUCGGAAAGAAAGAUGUGAAAUCCCAGGGCUCAACUUUGGAACUGCAUUUUUAACUACCGGGCUAGAGUGUGUCAGAGGGAGGUGGAAUUCCGCGUGUAGCAGUGAAAUGCGUAGAUAUGCGGAGGAACACCGAUGGCGAAGGCAGCCUCCUGGGAUAACACUGACGCUCAUGCACGAAAGCGUGGGGAGCAAACAGG